AGUGAACGCUGGCGGCAGGCCUAACACAUGCAAGUCGAGCGGCAGCACAGUGCUUGCUCGUGCUUUCGGGUGCCGAGUGGCGGACGGGUCCUAGGAACCUCCCUGUCAGUUUGUUCUAAGGUCAGAACACGGGCACUCUUACGCUAUUCGCGCUUACGGCGUACGGGGGGGAGCAUCGGACCUUCCGCCCUCACGUGAGUCUAUGACCCUAUGUCGGAUUAGCUAGUUGGCGGGGUAAAGGCCCACCAAGGCGACGAUCCGUAGCUGGUCUGAGAGGAUGAUCAGUCACACUGGAACUGAGACACGGUCCAGACUCCUACGGGAGGCAGCAGUGGGGAAUAUUGGACAAUGGGCGAAAGCCUGAUCCAGCCAUGCCGCGUGUGUGAAGAAGGUCUUCGGAUUGUAAAGCCCUUUUAGUUGGGAGGAAGGGCAGUAAGUUAAUACCUUGCUGUUUUGACGGUACCAACAGAAUAAGCACCGGCUAACUUCGUG
rnacentral:rRNA from 1 species